GGACCAUAGCUCAGUGGUAUAGCAUUUGCCUUGCAUGCAGAAGGUAUCAGGUUCAAUCCCCAGCAUCUCUA